rnacentral:lncRNA from 1 species
AGAGAUGUGGAACCCUGCCCUUGUAGCUCCUCUCCACGCAGGAUCUGCAGGCUUCCUCUUCUGCACUGUGUUCAUUGAAUGUUUGCCUCCCAGACUGACGGGGAGCUCAAAGGGACCCAAAUUCUCAAAGAGAAGUUUUCUGGAGCUACAGCUAUCCAAGUCACUGACAUUUCAGGAGGCUGUAGGUGAUGUAUAAAAUCCAAAUCAAACCAGAAGAAUUUAAAGAAACAAGAACUGUCCCUCAGCACCAGAUGAUUAAUCAGGCACUAAAAAAGGAAAAUCAAAGGGAUGCACAGAUGGUGGGUAUUUACCUCUGUCCCCAGACACUGACCUCCAUGCCCCCGGGGCUGUGUAGAUGCAGCUGCCUAAAACUUCGGAUGAACUUGACUGGAACCACUCU